UACGGAGGGUGCAAGCGUUAUCCGGAUUCACUGGGUUUAAAGGGUGCGUAGGUGGGCUUGUAAGUCAGUGGUGAAAUCUCCGUGCUUAACAUGGAAACUGCCAUUGAUACUAUGGGUCUUGAAUUAUCUGGAGGUUAGCGGAAUAUGUCAUGUAGCGGUGAAAAUGCUUAGAUAUGACAUAGAACACCGAUAGCGAAGGCAGCUUGCUACACAAUUAUUGACACUGAGGCUCGAAAGCGUGGGGAUCAAACAGG
rnacentral:rRNA from 1 species